AAAGUUUGCAUCUCUGACUUAGUGGAGAAGCAUGGAUUUUAUCCGUCCACUAUUGAAAAGGUGGUUCUUGCAAAGAACAUCAUCACCAUCUUCCCAUCGCUUAAAGUCCAAAUUGAUGGCAGAGGAGAAGGCUUUGAGCAUUUCUUCGAUCCAGCAUCACACUCUGGGUUUUUGGAGAUGAGACUUCGCAAUAUCCGC